AGAGUGUUCUGUGUUUAAUUUGUUCACAGUUGAAGCGGAUAAACCAGAUCUCUAUUGUGUGACAGACCGGCAGAACACAUAAAGUUUUACUGGCACCUCCGUUUUAUUUCAGCUCUCGUCCUUUGGUUUAAGCCAGCUGAGAGCUUGCCCAGCUAGCCAGCGUGAGACAUCUGGGAUGCGUAGCUCUCGUGAGAAAAUGAGAGAAGGGGCAGCUGGAACCCAUUAGGGACCAGGAGAUCAACAGAUCUGCUCUAUUUGGAUGAUGUCUGACCUGUCCUGUGCUCCACGCUAAUCUGUACAGCGAAGAGCAGGUCAGAGGACUCUUUUUGACGGCAUCCAAUUCAUCGUUGCUGAAAUAUCAUGUUAAGAUGUGUCCUGUGGAGCUGUUGUUAGUCUCAAUGUCACACAGCACAGUGACUCACAAACAACCUAUGACAUGCUCAGGUGUUUUUUUUGUUUGUUUGUUUGUUUGUUUGUUUUUUUAAUUGUGCACAUCUAAAACCAUUUUCCAUGAAUGCAAAUUGACAAGUUGGAUUCCUAAGCAAAUAGAGAUGACCUUUAAGACAUGAGAAACUCCCAGUCUGCCUGCUGGACCACCAAGUUUCCAAAGUCAGUUUGACUUCUGACCUAAUUGUUUUGUGUGAGUUUAGCCUUUCUUUGUUUCACACCUGCAGGUUUCAAUACACGUCUAAAAUUUGUAUUUUAUUGUUUUGCUUGAGUUACUUGUUUUUUGGGGUUUUUUGCUUUGUUUUUUUUGUUUUGUUUUGUUUUCCGCUUUGGGUUUUAAAUAUACCAGCAUCUAUAACAAAAAAAGGCAACAAUUAAAAGGGCCUUUGGUUUCCAU